GGGCUCUAGCUCAGUGGUAGAGCAUCUGUCUUGUAAGCAGAAAGUUGCAACUUCAAUCCCUGACAUCUCCA